CCUCGGGAAGAUCCCUUGGGAAGAUUUUUCCAGGAAAUCUUUGGGAUUUAUUGGCUCUGGGGCGGGAAAUCCUGAACGGAUCCCGGGAUCCCAAACCCCGAUCCCACAAAUCCAGCCAGGGAGGGAGAGGAGGACGGGGAACGGUCCUGGAGGACAUGGGGAGGUCCUGGAGAACAUGGGGAGGCUCUGGAGAACACCAGGAGGUCUUGGAGGACACCAGGAGGUUCUGAAGGACAUGGGGAGGUCCUGGGGGAUCCCAGGAGGUCCUGGAGGAUCCCAGCAGGUUCUGGGGGACAUGGGAAAGUUCUGGAGAACAUCAAGGAGCUCUGGAAGGUUCUGGAGAUCACUGGGGAGACCAUGGGAGGUUCUGGAAGGUUCUGGAGAACACGGGGGAGCCAUGGGAGGUUCUGGAGAACAUCGAGGAGCCCUGGAAAGUUCUGGAGAACACGGGGAAGCCAUGGGAGCUUCUGGAAAGUUCUGGAGAACACGGGGGAGCCGUGGGAGCCGUGGGAGGUUCUGGAGAACACGGAGGAGCCCUGGAAGGUUCUGGAAGGUUCUGGAGAACACGGAGGAGCCCUGGAGGUCCCCGGAGGCGGCGGGGCGGUGGCCGCG